UAAAUAAAAAAAUAAACAUAAAAACAACGCCAACGCCGACACCGACGCCGAUAAAGUGAUGACAAUAACUCGUAUAUUUUUUUCUAAAAAAUCCGACGAGCUAAUGAAAUGAUAACUUAUGCAAGGUACAACAAUACUUUAUCUGCUUAAGAUAUGCACAUGUUAUACUGAAUAUCUGAUUUGCAUAAAGCUAGAUUUAACCUUGAACGUACAAUCAGAUAACAUUUUAUUUGCAAAAACAUUGAGAGCGUUAAAAUAUACAGUAAGUACCUUAGUUGGCAACAAUACAAAUAUUGAUAUCAAAGUAUGAAAUCAUGACAUAAGUAUGCAUAUUCAAUGAAUUGUGAUUAUUUGUGUAAACAUUAAACAGGUAUAAUAUGACCUGGAAAUGAAAAUGUGUUUUCCAACAGGAUUUUUGUUUUGUUCGCGCAUAGAAGUUCAACGGAAAUUUGGAAGGAAAACCCGGCAAUAAUCCCUUGAACUAGUCCGCAUUGGAAAUGUUGGUGUGGCUGUUGGAGUGGCUGACCAGAAACAGAAAUGGCAAAGGCGAUGAAAAGUAAUGAGUAGACGAAAACAAACUGACGCGGCAGUAAAUUGAUGUAGUACACUGUGGUCAGCUGUAGAGAAUAAUUUGUCUCGGGUGAUCCGUGAAAUCAGUUUUAGCCAAUGGAUCAGAAAUUGGAUACACAAGUUACUGGUGUCCAUUUCUUACAAUAUUUUCCAGUAUGCUUGCGAUAGAUUGUAAUUGGCCUAUGUGAAUACUGGGUCACCAGAUAUACUCUCACCGAAUGGACUGUUUGUCUUCGGCUCAAGUUUGUAUGCUAAAAAACUGAAGCAACCUGCUUGCAGUUUAAAAGAGUCCGGGGAAACAUUCAAAUGUCGAAUUAACAUGAUACAACUGGAUAUCAGCAGAAAAAAGGAUAACUUCUUAUGAGCAGACGGCUACAGAAACUGGAGGUUACCCAAAUCAUUUUCGUGCGUGUAAAGAUGUUGAGUAAAAGUAAAUGAACAAGAGAGAAAAUGAAGAAACAACAUAAAACAGCCAAAUGAACUUCCAUGGGUAUGAAGUAAGAGGAUGCGAUAGUUUUGAUACUGGACAAGAAUCAGCUGCGUACCUACUAGCUGUGCUUCUGUCACCCAGUACAGAAUGCCAUUAUAUUUACUUAAGAUGAGGAUCCCAGAUCGAUGACUGUGUCUAAGAAUAUUAAAUAUAUGCAGUUCUUUAUCAUUCACGGGACAAAUACAAAAACACUUCCAACUGAUUAAUAUAUUUACUCGUUUUGUUUAUAUUGACAAAAGUAUGUUGAUUAUUAAACUCUAAAUGAAAUCUGUGUCAAACCUAACAGUUUGUAUUUCAUCUUGGUGACAUAUUCAAAAAUAUUGUAUGUGCCAGUAAUUGUCUUGUAACUUCGUGAUACUACAGCAUAGGUUAUACUCGCUAUGUUUUUAUUUUGGGUACUUUACGCGAACAGUGCGACUUGGUGUAUUUAAUAACUAGCCUUAUGUCCUAAUUCACUCGUAUAAUCAGCAACAAAUCGCACAUUUUAACAUCAUGUAUAAAGCCUGUGCCUAUCAAAUAGUGGAAUUAAAGCAAUGAGAAAAUUAAAAACCAAUAUUGAAUUGUAUUUAACGCCAAUUUGCCAUAAAUAUCAUAUCUGGGAAAGAACAAUGACAUCACAAUGCCUAAGAUGUUUUUAAAUUUUGAGCACGGUAUUGUAUUUUAAAUACUACAUAUCCCCUUUCACUCCACACAGUGAGGUGUUCUUGCUUGAAGAUAUUGUUUAAUCGGUGUAUUUGAUAGUGUAUAGUUUGUAUGAAUUAGAUUAUGGUGGAGGAAUAAUAUUACUACAUCUUAAUUUCUAGAAGACUAACAACGUUUGCCGUUUCUACGAUAUAGAUAAAACUCCAAAAAGCGGUUACCUCCCUCCGAGUGAGUUUACUUUAAGGGGACACCACUGCGUAGCAGAUUGCAUAUAAAUAUUACUCAAGUUACAAUAUUAGUUUUCGUCCUAUGUUAAUACAUUUUUCGCCAGUAAUAAUUUUUCACCAAGCUCUACCUCAGUAGAAAUGUUUUAUUAUUAUAGGUUAUUAGCUUUGUAUCGGGAAAUAUGCACGAGUUUUUCAGUGGAAAUAUUGCGCGACUUUAGGAGCGCAAUAUUCUUCCGCUGAAGAACGAGUG
rnacentral:lncRNA from 1 species